rnacentral:rRNA from 1 species
AAAGGAAUAGACGGGGGCCCGCACAAGCGGUGGAGCAUGUGGUUUAAUUCGAAGCAACGCGAAGAACCUUACCAGGUCUUGACAUCCCGUUGACCACUAUGGAGACAUCGUCUUCCCUUCGGGGACAACGGUGACAGGUGGUGCAUGGUUGUCGUCAGCUCGUGUCGUGAGAUGUUGGGUUAAGUCCCGCAACGAGCGCAACCCUUGACCUUAGUUGCCAGCAUUCAGUUGGGCACUCUAAGGUGACUGCCGGUGACAAACCGGAGGAAGGUGGGGAUGACGUCAAAUCAUCAUGCCCCUUAUGACCUGGGCUACACACGUGCUACAAUGGAUGGUACAAAGGGUUGCGAAGCCGCAAGGUGAAGCCAAUCCCAUAAAGCCAUUCUCAGUUCGGAUUGCAGGCUGCAACUCGCCUGCAUGAAGCCGGAAUCGCUAGUAAUCGUAGAUCAGCAUGCUACGGUGAAUACGUUCCCGGGCCUUGUACACACCGCCCGU